rnacentral:misc_RNA from 1 species
ACGGUUUCACAUGUGUUCGUGCUUGUGACUGCUAUCGUUCACUGAAAGAACUAAAUUGACAGACCGGCUGGUGGUGUCACGUUACAUGAUGGGAAACGACAGAAAAAGUGGCAAAAGACUCGCAUCUCAAGACCAGCAGAGGAUACGGGAGCUACUCGAUGAAGUUUUGGACAAAUGUACGACGAUGCCGUCAGGGGACGCGAAGAAGGAAUGGAAGGACUUCUUAGAAGUUCAGAAACUGCUGCAAGAAGUUCGGGAUCUGGAAAAACCUUUAUCUCCAAACCUGCCAAAGCGAUCCAACAAGUGGCCAGCUUUUCUUAAAUGGUGCUCUGAUAACAGUGCUUAUCUUGGCAGUGUGUCUAUAAAGGACCUACCUGAUGGCGAAUGUGGCUUCAUCGCUGAUGAACAAAUUGAGGAGAGCAACCAAUUCCUUGGUGUGCCAUUGAAGCUCAUGAUGACCACUGCUGCAGCAAAGAAAUCUAAGCUUGGUCCUCUUUUAAGAGAUGAUCCCAUAAUGAAGAGCAUGUCCAAUGUGGCUUUGGCCAUGUUUCUCAUCCUUGAAUUUUGUGCUGGUGAAUCAUCCUUCUGGCACCCCUACAUAUCAACUCUUCCAGCAUCAUUCAAUACUGUUUUGUAUUUCAGCAUUGAAGAACUUGAACUCCUCUGUGGGUCAACUGUAGUUGAUGAAGCCUUGAAGUUGCACAGAAGCAUUGCUAGACAAUACUCGUAUUUUCACAAGAUUUUUCGGACGCAUCCUCUUGCCAAGAGCCUUCCUUUCAAGGACUGCUUCACAUAUGACCUGUACAGGUGGGCCGUGUCUGCUGUGAUGACGCGACAGAACGCGGUGCCCUCGACGGACGCUGCUGGCGGUGACGAUGGCUCUGACGUCAUGACGGCUUUGGUUCCACUUUGGGACAUGUGCAACCACAGCGAUGGCAAGGUACUGACAGAUUACGACCCAUCAGCCAACAUGCUACGUUGCUAUGCCAUGCGGGACUUCGAGCCAGGCCAGGAGGUGACCAUCUUCUACGGGAAACGCACCAACGCCGAGUUCUUCAUCCACAAUGGCUUCGUGUUUCCGGACAACCGAUACGACGCCGUCGACAUCAAGCUGGGUGUAAGCAAGCAAGACCCGUUAUUCGCCGUCAAGGCGAAGCUGUGCGAAGAUCAUGAUCUCACUCCAAGCGGAACCUUCGCACUCGUCGACCGAGAGCGUCCGGUGUGCGAAGACCUCUCAACUUUCCUCAGGAUCCUCGUUCUGAAGGACGCGUCGCAGGUCGCGAAGUUCACUGACGAACACAUUAUGAGAGCAACCGACGACAACGCCCGGGAAGCGCUAAACUUCCUGAUUGUCCGCAUCCAGCUCCUGCUCCGGGCCUUCCCAAGGAGCGACCAGGAGUACGAAAGCAUCGUCAGCGACAAAGGAUCUAACGCCCGGAUCAAGAUGGCGUCGCAGCUGAGAUUGUUGGAGCGCAAGAUCUUGGCCGCCGUGCUCGAGACCCUCAACAACUGCGCAAAAGAGCGCACCCAGACUUAAAAGCUGAUCUAUACUUCGUCACGGAGCCCGCGGUGUAAACAACGCAACCGCGUCACACGCGUCAGCAUAUCGCUGCCAUUCUGGCUUUACUGCAAUACCACGUUCGCCACCUCACAGUUUUACAGCAUGCACAUUAUAGCUAAGCCAUAACAGGUGCAUGAGCCGCCCGGAUUAUCCGGUACGUGCAAAGUUGCGUGCGUGUUUCCCGAUAUGCGAGGGCUAACGGUAGAGCGGUAUACCGCUCCACGGUUAGCGGUAGAGUGUUCUGUGGUAAAGCGGCAGAGCUUGUAAUCUUACUUGCCUUCCAAUAGCAAAGUCCCUAUAGGUGCAUGCGCAGAGUGUAUGAGCCGCCACGUGCAACUUUACGCGCUACCUUGCCGAGGCCGCAGCGCUUACUGUAGGCCGGUAUACCGCCCUAAAGUUAGCGGUAGAGCAUUCUAUAGCAGAGCGGUAUACUAUACAAGCGCUGAAGCGUAUAGACGGGUGUACCGCUCUACCGUUAGCGAUACCGUCUCGCCAACCUAUAGCACCUAAAUGUGCGCGUGCUUAAGCCGUACGUCGCAAGCAUAUAUCUGUUGCGGAUUAUCUAUUGCGCGCGUACUGAGGGUCACAGGCGCGGUGGCGAUGGUAUAGCACUAAGGGUAGAGGGGUAGAAGUGGGCUAAAUCUCUCAAAUAUGGGCGCUGAUGUGCCGUUAAACAGCGUCUGAUUCGGCAACCUUGCGGCGUGGCGCUCAUGAGCUUAUACGUGCGGACGUGUCGAAGUGGAUUUUGGAGCCCACCGGAGGCGUCUCCCUGCCGUGCCUAAGAAAAAAAAACGAAAAAAAAUUGUGUGCAAAUGACAAUGAGAGCUCUUAUUUAUUUACUGAGUAAAAGAAGUCACAAUGCA